CGGACGGGUGAGUAACACGUGGGUAACCUACCUAUAAGACUGGGACAACUUCGGGAAACCGGAGCUAAUACCGGAUAAGAUAUCGAACCGCAUGGUUCGAUAGUGAAAGAUGGUUUUGCUAUCACUUAUAGAUGGACCCGUGCCGUAUUAGCUAGUGGGUGAGGUAACGGCUCACCAAGGCAACGAUACGUAGCCGACCUGAGAGGGUGAUCGGCCACACUGGAACUGAGACACGGUCCAGACUCCUACGGGAGGCAGCAGCU
rnacentral:rRNA from 1 species